GUAAGAUCUGCAUACAAUUCCUG
rnacentral:sRNA from 1 species